GCCUAAAUGUACCAGGCUUCUGGCCCAGUGAGCAAAGUCUGUGAAAGAUUAAAAAGAGAGAGAGAGAGAGAGAGAGAACGAACUAUAUUGCUUUUCCUAAAUUCAAAGAGUAAACUUUUGCCACAUAAAUUCAGAUUUUCUGGAAUGAGACAUGAGAAAUGAAGAAAGCAAACUUGGAUGAUUUUAAGGUAAAUAUUUCCCAGGUAAUUGUGUUGAGAGGUGUCUGUUUCUCCUUCUUCUGGCAGAGAGACAAGCAGCCUGUAACAUCUUUCCAGAGAAAUACCUCGGAUUUGUUUCAGUGACCUUACAGUCUGGGUAUGAUGGCACCGGCACACACAAGAGUUUAUUGGUUAAUAAUGAAUGAAUCACAUUUUAUUUGUAUGUUUUAGGACAAUUUAUAAGCUCUUGUGGUUGAUUCAGGCUGUAAGACACCACCUAACAAAAUAUGGUUUCAGUAUCUGCAUGGGCUGCUCUUCCUUCUAGGUGGAAGCAGGGUUCCAAAAAGCAGGCGAGGUAUGACUGCCGGCCAAACUCAUAACCCCAAUUACCCAGCACUUCGACCAAGGCCUCCAAGGAUCAGGCAUCGCUUCUGGUCGCUUUGGUAUGCUUGGAUAGAAGACAAAUCAAUUUCAACAGUCUGUGAUUGACAUUAUUAUUAUGAUGAUGAUGAUGAUGAUGAUGAUGAUGAUGAUGAACCAUAACAUCCUGAGACAUUUAUCAGGCAUAUAAUGUUUCGAGUAUUUUUCUCUUUAUAUUCUUUAACAAAGAUACUAUUAUUUCACCCAUUUUAUAUUUGAGGUUUAGGCCGUUUUUUUUUUGUUUGUUUCAUUUUGUUUUUUAAUUUGCCCAGAAUUAGACAUCUGGUAUAACAGAGCUGGGGCCUUCAGUAGAGACUCUGGAAUACCUUUGUUAAAAACGUGAAAUACUCCCUCUAUAUAUGAUGUGUCAAAGUGCAUUCUGCUGUCAUGUAUAACUAGUUAGAACAAAUAAAAAAAAAUCUGUGAAACUAUACUUUAGUCGUUCUUAAUUGAAUUAAGCAGGAAAGAUUUACCAAGCUAAAUAAUCAGCAAAUGGUUCCAAACUGUAUGCAAUCAAAUGCUGAAUAGUGAAAAGCAGAUUCUGAAGACCUAGAGAUGGUCAGCAGAAAGGAAACCCAGUGGGAAAGGCCCAGGGAAGGCUUGCAGGAGAAGAUGCAGUGUGAGGCAGUCUUUGAAGUGACCUUCACUGUGCAGAGAGAGCAACGAAAGCAAAGACAGCAGGCUGGAAGAGAUUUGGAGGUAUGGGGGCCAAUGAAGGGGCCAGCCUGAGCAGAAAAGAAAUAGUUGUCCCCUUUCAGGUUUAUUCCUCCAGGUUUCAAGUUCACAAGGAACUCAAAAAGACAUACAGAUCAACCCAGGUACUAUGCAAUGGCACACCCGACAGGCAAUGGGGCUGGAAGCUGCCCUUGAACUACCAUGAAGAAAGCAUGCUCUGUAAUCCUGUAAUCAACAUAACACAGACUGAGUACCCACCACGUGUGCUACUAAUGCUAAAUGUCGGGAAUAGAAGGGAGAAGCAGAUGCAAUUCUGGUCCCCAGGGCACUUAGAACUGCAUAAGCACAUAAGUGUUCAUGGGACCAGUGAGUCUGGGGACGAGUAUGACAAUAAGGACAAACUUAAGUAUAAAGGAACAAAGGAAGGAGUAUUCCAUCUCUCUCGAGGCAGAAAGUCUUUUCAAUAGUAACACUUGAUGUGGGCCUUGCAGGAGGAGCAAAUCAUGAAGCUGGAGAAAGGAAUGGAGUUGCAGACAGAAGAGGUGGCAGGAGAAAUUGCCUGUAAGGAAACCCACAUGUGCUUGUAAGGAAAGCAGCCCAGCAGAGCUGGAUGGAGAAAACACCCAAGGUGCCUGAGGUGAGGUGGCAGAGCCAGCUGGAGUAGUGUCAGGAGACACUUGGGGUGAGGAAUAAGACAAGAAGGAAUUUGAACACAGUGGGGAGCCACAGAAGAACUUGAUCAUAACAAUGAGAUUAUUUGACCUCUGAUAUAAGAUGAAAAUCUGGCAAUGGUAAAGGAUGUAUGCCUAAGGGGUGAACUAAAAGGCUCCUUUGAUAUUCAAAGAUGAAGAUGAUAUCAUCAAGGGAGCCUGAAUUCAAGUGAUGGUAAUGGACAGGAAAAGGAUUCCCAAGGCAUGAAAGAUGAUCAGGCACACUUAGUAUCUAAAAGAUAAUGAUGACUUCCGAUUUUAGUGACUUUGGGAUAAUGGUGUCACGAAACAGGACAGGGACAAGACCAAAAGCAAUCAGGAAUAAGUGCUACUUAGACUAGAAAAAUACUCCUAAUGCUGAACACAUGCUGGUACAGUCUCAAACAAAACUGGGUGAUGCUAUUUUCUUUAAUGACUGUGUAGUCUGCCGUGGCAGGUGGCCCAGAGGAGUGAUAACAGGGACAGAGGACCCCCCCUCCCCAGGUCACUGGUUCAAAGUCAUAGUUCUCAAGUGUCUGAAACUUGUUCUCCUAUCUGACAGCUGUUCAAUGGCUCAUGUGAGAGGAAUUAGAGGUCUUAGUUGAGGUCCUAGCAAAACAGGUGCUCCUCUUUAUAACUGACACCUUUGUUGAUGGAGGAGCGAUUUUUUUUUCAAGAAAUAAGGCAGUUCUAGUCCUUAGGUUGCCUGUUGAGGCAUUUUUGGACUAACCAGAGUCAUUUUUUUUUCCCAAGAGCAUUCAACCGUGGCACAGCUGAUUUGUUUGAAAUGUUUAAGAUUUUUAAAAAUCAAGAAUAGGCGUUGACUGAGAGUGCUAAAGCAACCAUUUAAUAGAGCUUUUCUGCUUCCAUCUGUCCUUUACUCUUUUGAGGUCACUUCCCUAAAGAGAUUUGUCACAUAACAGGUCUCUAUUCCUUUCUCUAUUCCUUUUCAUUUCCUUGUCAACAUCUGGAUCUAAAGAAAGCAUUCAGCCUGAAAUAGUGGAUCUCCCUCCCUUUGGAAAAUAACACUAUAUGUUUUUGACACUAUAGGUUUUUCAAAUAUAUAUAAUACAUAUAUAUAGUACAUAUAUAUGUAUACAUAUAUUUAAUACAUACAUAUAUAAUUUAUAUAUAUAUAUAUAAUUUUAAAAAAUAUUUUAUUCCCUUCAAACUAGAAUUCCAAGUGGGAGGAUAUUUGUCCUGAACAUUAGGUAGGACACACAGGUCGUUCCCAAAGACCUCCACAGCAGAGGAGACCUUGUGCUCCACAACCAUGUUUGCUUACCCUGCACCAGUGUGUGGACUGGCCUGUGGCAAACCACUGUAAAAGAACGAAGUCACAUAAGAAUUGUGCUUGAGUCUGUACAUUCCUUGGUGUCAACUAAAGCCACAGGAACUUUGGCAGUAUUUUCAAGUUACACCCAUUCCCCCAUUGCAAUGCAGGUCUGUGAACUAAAGUCUCAGCUCUGCCAAAAACCACAGUGAUUAUCAACAGUAUAAGUAAUCAAGUAAAAGCAUAUUUUUUUCCACAGCCCACUGGCCAGAUUGUCAUGAAAGCAAAAAGUAGCAGCAAAAAUUGAUUGCUGUCUGCAAAGAUAAUUUCUAUCUGAAUUCUAUUAUUGUAUUGCAUCGGUGAUACAUAAUGUGUGCCCUGCAUCUUUGCCAUAAACAUUUUAGGUUUAAUUUAGAAAUCUCUGAGUCAUUAGAAAAGUUCUUUCUCAUGAUAAUGAAGAGGGCACUGUGAACUCAGCACUGAAAAGGGAAAGGAAAAAACAGGCAAGAUACCCACGUGAGAAGUAGAAAAAAUGACCAGUGGGCCAAAUAAUAGGAAGAAAUUCAAAAUAUACAUAGCUGCUUUCUAUUGAAUAAUUAAUACAUGCCUCGCUGUUUUUCAUUAUAAAGCAGCUUGAGUAUUUUCAAUGUUCCAAUAAAAUGUGCUCU
rnacentral:lncRNA from 1 species